rnacentral:rRNA from 1 species
GAAAGAAAGAUUAAUACCCGAUGGCAUAAUAGAACCGCAUGGUUUGAUUAUUAAAGAAUUUCGGUUAUCGAUGGGGAUGCGUUCCAUUAGGCAGUUGGUGGGGUAACGGCCCACCAAACCUUCGAUGGAUAGGGGUUCUGAGAGGAAGGUCCCCCACAUUGGAACUGAGACACGGUCCAAACUCCUACGGGAGGCAGCAGUGAGGAAUAUUGGUCAAUGGACGAGAGUCUGAACCAGCCAAGUAGCGUGAAGGAUGACUGCCCUAUGGGUUGUAAACUUCUUUUAUAUGGGAAUAAAGUGAUCCACGUGUGGAUUUUUGUAUGUACCAUAUGAAUAAGGAUCGGCUAACUCCGUGCCAGCAGCCGCGGUAAUACGGAGGAUCCGAGCGUUAUCCGGAUUUAUUGGGUUUAAAGGGAGCGUAGGUGGACAGUUAAGUCAGUUGUGAAAGUUUGCGGCUCAACCGUAAAAUUGCAGUCGAUACUGGCUGUCUUGAGUACAGUAGAGGUGGGCGGAAUUCGUGGUGUAGCGGUGAAAUGCUUAGAUAUCACGAAGAACUCCGAUUGCGAAGGCAGCUCACUGGACUGCAACUGACACUGAUGCUCGAAAGUGUGGGUAUCAAACAGGAUUAGAUACCCUGGUAGUCCACACAGUAAACGAUGAAUACUCGCUGUUUGCGAUAUACAGUAAGCGGC